UACGUAGGGUGCGAGCGUUAAUCGGAAUUACUGGGCGUAAAGCGUGCGCAGGCGGUGAUGUAAGACAGUUGUGAAAUCCCCGGGCUCAACCUGGGAACUGCAUCUGUGACUGAAUCGCUGGAGUGCGGCAGAGGGGGAUGGAAUUCCGCGUGUAGCAGUGAAAUGCGUAGAUAUGCGGAGGAACACCGAUGGCGAAGGCAAUCCCCUGGGCCUGCACUGACGCUCAUGCACGAAAGCGUGGGGAGCAAACAGG
rnacentral:rRNA from 1 species